GUGAGGAAUUUUCCGCAAUGGGCGAAAGCCUGACGGAGCAAUGCCGCGUGAAGGAUGAAGGCCUAUGGGUUGUAAACUUCUUUUCUCAGAAAAGAAUUAUGACGGUAUCUGAGGAAUAAGCAUCGGCUAACUCUGUGCCAGCAGCCGCGGUAAGACAGAGGAUGCAAGCGUUAUCCGGAAUGAUUGGUCGUAAAGCGUCUGUAGGUUGUUUAAAAAGUAUUCUGUCAAAGAUUAGGGCUUAACCCUAGAUAGGCAGAAUAAACUUUUAAGCUAGAGUUUGGUAGAGGCAGAGGGAAUUCCCGGUGGAGCGGUGAAAUGCGUAGAUAUCGGGAGGAACACCAAAGGCGAAGGCACUCUGCUGGGCCAAUACUAACACUGAGAGACGAAAGCGAGGGGAGCAAAUGGGAUUAGAUACCCGAGUAGUCC
rnacentral:rRNA from 1 species